CCUAAGAGCUGUAACACUGUUUGUCCAAGACCCGAGAGCUGUGACGCGCUGAGGGCUUUAAUGUCCGUUGCUCCAAAUCUUUGUUGUGACGAGACAAAGAACCGAGGAACAUACACUCGCGUGACACAUCCAUUCAGCCUCCAGCUACUCAGACAAUUUUGAAGAUGAGACAUCAAGAACCUGAGAUUCAUUAGCUCCUGAAACCAGGACUGGGAUCUCAGUUGGUAGACUGUGGGUUUUGGCUGGGUUCCAGUUCCAGCACGUUGGUUCAAGUCCCAAUCUAAGGAAAAUGUGACCUGACUCAACUCCAUUGUCGGCAGCUGCUCUGAAAGUGGAAAUCAGGACAGCAGAGAACGUCAGGGAGUUCAUUUCACUGGUCGCUGGUGUCUGUGGUUUGGCUUGGCUGUUUAUAAAUGCCCCUGGCAGCAUCCUUGGCUCACCCCAGACGGGUGCCUUCUGUUGCCUCUUGGAGUCCCGGGGCCCUGGCCCACCACACCCACUCCUGUUCUGCCCAGGUCACCGACGUGUCUGCUCCUUGCCUGGCCUGGGUGUCCAGGACUCCGCUCUCCUCCCCUGCAGUCUGGGGUAGAUACUCAGGAGGAGUCCUUGGAGCCUGGCUCCCUGCCCAGAAUGCCGAGGGCCCCAGGAGGAGGCUUCUGCCAGUCCCAUGAGUAGCCUGGCUCUCCCAGCUGACGGGUGCUGCCCACGGAGGGUCUACAAUGUGCCAGGUGAGGUCUUGGGUGCUUCCCACACAGGCUCCCACCUAUAGCCAAGUGGAGUAGCUAUCCCCACUUUACAGAUGGGGAAACUGAGGCUGGGAGGUGAGGCUUGUCCCAAGUCACCCGGCAGGUGAGAGGCUGAGCUGCCACCCCAGCUGGGUCUGCCUGUGUCCAGAGGCUGUGCCGCCCCUUGUGCAGAGCGGGAAAGACAGAGGUCCCAGAGGUCACUGUUGCUGAGUCUUACUGCUUGCAGCAGGACAGGCCAAUAAAUGGGGAGACGAACUGCUGGGGCAGAGAACAGCAAUUUUUUUGGACAGCCAGCACACCAAGAAGGUGGUGGAUUAGUGUCCCAGAGAACCAUCUUCCCUGAGCUAGAGUUCAGGCUUCUUUUCCUUUUUUAUUUUCUGGCUGUGUUGGGUCUUAGGUGAGGCAUAUGGGAUCCUCGUUGAGUCCUGCAGAUCUUUCAUUGAGACCCAUGAACUCUGUAGUUCAGGCACAAGGGCUCAUUUGUUCCGUGUCACAUGCGAUCUUAGUUCUCUGACCAGGGAUCGAACCCAUGUCCCCUGCAUUGCAAGGUGGAUUCUUAACCACUGGACCACCAGGAAGGUCCCUUCAGGCUUCUCUCAUACUGAAACGGGAGGGGUAAAGUCCUGGUUUCCGCCAGAUGCUGGAGGGGACACGUUAACUUUCUUCCUUCCCGCAGCCAUUCACUGGUGGGCCUGGUCAGGAUGUUUCCUGUGAGCUGAGCAAAAGUUUUUUAGCUUAACUCGCAUUACCUGGGAAGCAGGGUUCCCAGAGAUGGGCCGUGGUGUAUCAUUUAAGCUGAUAGGCAUCAUCCCUUUUGUGGUUAACUUGUGCAUGCGUGCAUGCUAAGUCAGUUUAGUCGUGCCUGACUCUUUGUGACCCCAUGAACUGUAACCCACCAGGCUCCUCUGUCCAUGGGAUUUUCCU